CGAAUGACCAACACUAAAAGGUGUCACGGUGUAUAUGAGUAUAAUCAGAGGUAGGAUACAAAACCAUUUCCAAGGCAUUGAAUAUCCUCCACAGGACAGUAAAGUUUGUUAUUAAGAAAUGUAGAGAAUACUGCAGAACUAUGAAUCUGUCUAGAACAGGCUGUCUUCAAAAACUGAAUAUCACGGCAAGAGGUUCACUAGUCAGGGAGGACACCAAGAGGACUAUGACACUUCUAAAGGAGUUACAGUAUUCCACGGCUGAGCUGGGAGCCACUGCUCAUAUUGGAACAAUUGCUGAGUGCUUCACAAAAGGGGACUUUAUGGAAGAGUGGUAAAAAGAAAAGAUCUGGGGAAGGUCUGUAUGGAGGAGUGGGACAAAAUCCCUACUGCAGUGUGUGCAAACCUGGUCAAGAACUACAGAAAACAUAUGAUCUCUGUAAUUGCAAACAAAGGUCCUCCUUUUGCCGCCGAAACAGCCCUGACCCCUCGAGGCAUGGACUCCACUAGACCUCUGAAGGUGUGCUGUGGUAUCUGGCACCAAGACAUAAGCAGCAGAUCCAUUAAGUCAUGACCCAGGGUAUCCUAGCAGAACAUUGCCCAAAGCAUCACACUGCCUCCGCCAGCUUGCCUCCUCCCCAUAGUGCAUCCUGGUGCCAUGUGUUCUCCAGGUAAGCAACGCACAUGCACCCGGCCAUCCAUGUGAUGUAAAAGAAAAUGUGAUUCAUCAGACCAGGCCACCUUCUUCCAUUGCUCCGUAGUCCAGUUCUGAUGCUCACAUGCCCAUUGUAGACGCAUUCGGCAGUGGACAGGGGUCAGCAUGAGCACCCUGACUGGUCUGCGGCUACGCAGCCCCAUAUGCAACAAACUAUUGUGUGUUCUGACACCUUUCUAUCAGUACCAGCAUUAACCUUUUCUGCAUUUUGGGCUACAGUAGCUCGUCUGUAUAUAAUUU
ensembl:lncRNA